rnacentral:misc_RNA from 1 species
AAGUCGUAACAAGGUUUCCGUAGGUGAACCUGCGGAAGGAUCAUUAACACGUAUCCAACGUUAAACAACCCUGUGAACUUUCAAACGCUCUUGUAGCCCAGGCGGAACAGCAAUCCUUGCCUAAAUCAAGCCCCGCGGAAACGCCGGGCACAAAAACUGAACAACUGUUAACAAUGGAUAUCUUGGUUCUC